rnacentral:misc_RNA from 1 species
AAGUCGUAACAAGGUUUCCGUAGGUGAACCUGCGGAAGGAUCAUUAACACGUUAUCCACGUAAUGCCAACGAGAACCGUUUUCCCGUCUCCCUGUGCAAAGAAUGAAUUGGAACCAGUUUGAGGGGGUGAUCGGGCCUGAAAGUAUGGCGACCUUCCUGGCUACACUGAUGUAAAUAGAAAUGUUUGCAUCGACAAUUGUAUCUUUGUUACAGGCUAUUUCUUUAUCGCUUUGAUGCCCAUCACGGUCGUGGCGGUAAGGAAAACCUUUACAAACUAUGUUUACCCCCUUUUUUGCUAGUUGACUUUUUAUAUGUGUUGUCGUUGCGUAAAAAGCAUCGGUGGCGCACGUUUAUUAAUUGAACGUUAAAAAAUACAACUCUUAGCAAUGGAUAUCUUGGUUCUC